UACGAAGGGGGCUAGCGUUGUUCGGAAUCACUGGGCGUAAAGCGCACGUAGGCGGAUCUUUAAGUCAGGGGUGAAAUCCCGAGGCUCAACCUCGGAACUGCCUUUGAUACUGGGGAUCUCGAGUCCGGGAGAGGUGAGUGGAACUGCGAGUGUAGAGGUGAAAUUCGUAGAUAUUCGCAAGAACACCAGUGGCGAAGGCGGCUCACUGGCCCGGAACUGACGCUGAGGUGCGAAAGCGUGGGGAGCAACAGG
rnacentral:rRNA from 1 species